CUAUACAUGACUCUGCGCAUAUCAAUAAGCGGAGGAAAAGAAACUAACAAGGAUUCCCCUAGUAACGGCGAGUGAAGCGGGAAGAGCUCAAAUUUGAAAUCUUAAAGGGUUUCCCUUUACGAAUUGUAGUUUAAAGAAGUGUUUUCUGUUGAGGUUUUGGUAAAAGUUCUUUGGAAUAGGACAUCAUAGAGGGUGAGAAUCCCGUAUUUGACCAUUAUUUUCAGCUUUGUGAUACACUUUCAAAGAGUCGGAUUGUUUGGGAAUGCAGUCCAAAAUGGGUGGUAAAUUUCAUCUAAAGCUAAAUAUUGGCGAGAGACCGAUAGCGAACAAGUACCGUGAGGGAAAGAUGAAAAGAACUUUGAAAAGAGAGUUAAACAGUACGUGAAAUUGUCAAAAGGGAAGCGUUUGACACCAGUGUUGUUUUUCUGAAAAUCAAUUAAAGAACUGUUUAUGCUAAGUUGUUUAGACUUUAUCAGCUAUCUGUUUAGUUUUGAGCUUUUCUUUAAUGCACUUUUCAGUUAACAAGUCAACAUCAAUUUCUUUUGCUGUAAAAAAGCUUGAGGAAGGUGGCUUGAGAUUCGUCUUAAGUGUUUAUAGCCUCUUGCCUAUGCAGUCGGAGAGAUUGAGGUCUGCAGCGUAGAUCCUUCGGGGCUAAAUGCAUUUGUGCUAAGUUAUAGCAUUUUAUAGACAACUUGUUGACUAUGAUUAGUCUUGUAGCUUACUCGCUUAUGCUAUUUUACCUACGCUUAGGAUGUUGACAGCAGUAUAGACUGU
rnacentral:rRNA from 1 species